rnacentral:lncRNA from 1 species
GCAGCUUUGGGGCUGCAAGGACCACUUUGCUGCCUGUGUAGAUAAUCCAACAUCUCUUCCCAAAGAAAAUAAUUAUACAGACUGCAACAUUAUUUUGUAAACAAAUAGAUCCUAGUUUUCCUUUUGGAAUUGCAUCAGUGUUUCCAUGAUUAGAGAGAUGUUUUGUGCCACUCUUAGGUUAUUUAAUAGCAUCCCACCCCUCCCUGUUGCUAAGACCACACACAAGCACUCUGCUGAGAAAAGUCAGUUGUACCUGGAAGGGUUGGUGGGUUGUGUGGAUGUGUCUGAGGCUGGGAUAACAUCUCUGCUCAGGCAGCAUCCUCCCAUCCUUUUGGAAGUGUGCACCACAAUCCUAAGUAUAAUUGAAAUGUCAGCAGCACGUUCACAGCUCUCCUCAGUGGGACCGUGUUGAGCCUAAAUACAGAGAAGCCCUCCUCAGAAAUAAGGAUGAUGGAGAAUUCUGGAUGUGCUGUAAGGAUUUCCAGGAGCAGUUUUCAUGGCUGUACAUAUGUAACAACACCCCAACAUUCCUGGACUUUGGAGAUGAGCACGGCACAGCAGCGUGGUCUCUGACCAGCUACACCAACCUGUGGAGCCCGGGCCUUCCCUCCAGGAGGAGCCGCUAUUCCCGGGGUGCAGCUUCUACAAAUCCUCAGUAUUUUUUCAAAGUGCUAGAUCACAAUCCAAAAACCCGUAAUGUAGCCAUUUCACUCAUGCAAAAACCCGCUGAGCACACGCAGGAUGAAAGAAACAUGGGGAUUGGCUUUUUCAUCACCAUGGAGAACUCCAGAGUUCUGGAGCAAACCUUUCUCCAGGCUCGAGAUGUGACCAGCUGCCUGACCCUGAGCCCAGGAACCUACGCCGUGGUUCCUGCUGCAGCAGAGGAUCAGGAAUUCCAAUUUCUCCUAAGGAUUUUCAUAAAGAAUCAGGACUACCAUGAGUAAGAUGAUGCACACUCCUUAAAGGCCCCAGAGCCAGAGAGUGCCAG